CAACCUUCACUUUACAAAUUGGUUUUAUAGAGUUGAGUUAAGCCCAUAACUCACAUUCUAAAGUGGUAUUAGAACUAUCUAGAUCCACUCUUAAAGGGUCACCCACCAUUGAUAUGUGCACCAAGCCUAAUAUUGUUGGACAUAAGGAAGUGUACUGGGAAAAACACAAAUCCUACCUACCCUACAUCAUUAAAGAGGGUCACGCACUAUUUAUCCAUAUAUCAAGCCCAAUAGUAUUGGACAUGAGGGGAUGUAUUAGGAAAAACUCAAGUCUCAUAUCGACUAGAGAUAAGAGAGUUAAAAAAUAUAUAAAUGGGGGACAACCUUCACCUUACAAGUCGGUUUUAUAGGAUUGAGUUAGGUUCAUAACUCACAUUCAAAGACCUAUCAAGUAAACUGAUAUUAAUAAUGCCUUCCUCAAUGGCUACCUAGAAGAAGACAUUUAUAUGGUUCAGCCUCCAAGAUUUGAGGAUUUUGAUAAAAGUCUUGUUUGCAAACUACAAAAGGCAAUUUAUGGUUUAAAAAAGACUCCUCAGGCAUGGUACAUGCGAUUGACAAACACUCUUCUCGGGGCUUGGAUUUGUUCCAAGCAAAUGUGAUCACUCUCUACUGAUUUACAAAAUGUGUGAUGUUUGUAUCUAUAUAUUGAUCUAUGUGGAUGAUAUAAUAAUUACAGGAAAUUCCGGUUCCUUGGUUCAGGCCUUCAUUACAAAACUACAUGAUGUAUUUGCUCUCAAGCAACUUGGUGAUCUUGAUUAUUUUGUGGGGUUAGAAGUCAAACAUUCUUCUUCAGGAUCUCUUCUUCUAUCUUAGGGUAAAUACAUCAGAGAUCUUCUGCAAAUAGAAGCUAUAGAGUCUGCCAAAGGAAUUUCUACUCUUCAAGCUAAUCUCAAACUGUCUAAAUUUGGUUACAGUUGGAGGUCUUCAAUAUGUUACUAUAACCUGCCCUACAAUUGGUUAUGCUGCCAACAAAGUCUGUCAAUAUGUUACUAUAAGCUAUAGAGUCUUCCAAAAAAGAAUUAGUCCGAGGAACUAUUGAUCUUGGUCUACUUUUUCAGCCUGCAACUACUGUUACUCCUCUUGCUUUACAAGCUUUCUCAGAUGCUGAUUGGGGAUUUGAUGUAGAUGAUUGCAGAAGUACUUCAGAAGCCAUUUAUUCUUGGAUGGAAGAUGGAAACUUUCUUUCAGAGACCUGUCUUUCUAAUCCAUUGGCAUGUGUGGCUUAAAGAGUUUCUUUGUCCCCCAAACUUGAUAAGGGGUAGAGCUACAUUGUUGGUCAUUCUUUUAAGUUCUGCUAAUGGAUGCUUCGAUUCGAGGAAACAAAACUCUCGAAGUGAGGUCCUCUUUCUUUCUUUGCAAAUUCGUAAUCUUCAACAAAUAACCUUAGGCUUACAUGGUAUCAAGUAUCAAUUAUCAAGAGAUACAAUCUUCAUUUCACCCUAGGAAAAAAGUUCAAGUAAUGCCUUUUACAACUGCCAACUUGACACUAUAGCAGGAGCAAAGCUUGAGGAGAAUAUGGAGGGGUUGAAUCUACCAACAUCUCAAAUUUUUCAUGAUUCUUAAACCACAAAUAGCAAGAUAAACUCUAACCUAAGAUAACAUGUGGGAAAAGAGGAGAUAACAACUAUCCCCCGCCCCCCCAACCCAAUGCAACUAUUAGACAUACUAAUCCUCAAUUAAUGAGAAUAUUUACUUCCCCAAAUGGUAACCUCUAACUAUAUUGAUUGAUAUCAGUGUUACUAAUAAUGUUAUGGACAUUAAAAUUGCCAUAUAUAAAACUAUUUCUGAAGUUCCACCAAAACGCUUAAGCUUUGAGGAUAGUUGCUUCAUGGCAUGCCCUCAGUGCCUCUAACACUAACUUGGCUGCAAGAGCCAAACCUUUUCCAUUGAAGACCUCAUUUAACUAAAUAAAAAAGUUCAAGUCAACCUGAACCUGGAGAUGAAGCACCAUCACUACAUUUGACUCCUCUCACGUGAAGUGUUUACUUUAGAGGGAAAAUGAAGAGUUACAACCCUUAAUGAGAAAAUCAACUGAUAAUAUUGAGCUGAGGAGAAGUUGAGCUUUUGGUACCAGAUUGCUUGAAGUUUGGGAAAAAUCAGGAGUCGUGUGGAAGCUUGUUCUCUUCUUCCCCCGAAGCUCAGAUUCUUCUUCUCCGAGUGUGACGGUCAAGGCAGAUAGCCAUAAAUAACUCCUCAUUAAAGGUUGUUAAAAUUCAUAUACAUCUUCUCAUCAACAGCUAUAACUCCUCAUUUCUUCCCUCCGAAAUGAUGAGCCAAAUUCCAGCACAACAACCCUACCAUUUGUUGAAGGAAAAGUCUCCAACAGAAUGACUGUACCCUACCUUUCCUUAAAGGAGAAGUUUCAAACAGAAUGACUCUUGUGAGAGAAAGAUAUUAGAAUUAAAAAAAUCAGAAAUUAUUAUUAUCCUAAUUGGUUGCUGUUUUCUUUUUGUUAUGCUUUCUACCUUAACUAGGAUUUUCCUUCAAUUACGCUGUUUCCUAUUUCAACCUGGGUUCUUAGCCUAAUGUUUAUUUUCUUUGAGGACACAACCCUCUAGUCAUCCCAUUCAUAAUAUUCUAUCACAAACCCUAGCUUCACCAUCAACUCAUUGUAACAGAUUCAACAAUGAACAACAAAAAAAAAAGCGUGAGUUGACCGAAUUCAACAAUCACUGAUAUACAAGAUAAAUAACUCAAACAGCAAAGUAACGGUUGAGAAAAUAACAUAAAACCAUAAAAAAGCAACAAGGAAGCACGAAAACUAAAUAAAUCCAAUUCAAGCAUACUUAUAUGAAACUAAGGGUGUUCAUGGAUUGGUUU